CCUGCUGAACCGCGACUCCCAACUAUCACUCUGCUUCAGUUACUACACCAAGGCUCCAACUUACUAGACCACUAAAACUGCUGAAGUGCUAGAUACUACACCACUAGGGCUACAGAAUUUUACACCACAACUUAUGCAGCCCGAGCUACUACUCCGCAGCCCAGAUUUAUUAUUCUGUACCGAGCCCGAUUACUUCACUAAGGCUCUGGAGUACUACACCACAACCUACGUUGCCCCAGCUUACUACAUCAUGGCUCCCAAGUACCAUUUACGUGUGCUGCAUCAACCCACUACAUCGAGACUUCCAAUCAACUAUGGUGUCAUGCUGCUGUUGGGUGGGUUGUAUCGUUGAUGGCUGGGUCGAUCACGGGUGUACUGACGUUUCCUGUGUAUUGUAUGUAGCUUUCGAGCGACAGCAGCGAAAGAAUAGUACACUACGUCGCCGCCUUACUACACAACGUCAACAAACGCAAUACCACUUACUACACCGAGAGCCUCUUUAAAUACUACACUACCAAGGCUUCGGAGUACAAAGUUAUGCUGCCUCGAGCUUCUACUCCGAAGUAUAACUCUGCCCCGAGUUACAUCACAAAAGCGCCUGAGUACAAGACUGAGUCUUCCAAGUUCUACUCCACGAAAGCUUCAAGGUUAAACUACAAAGUUUAACUAACCAAGCUGAAAAGGUUGAAUACUACACCGAAGUGUCCAAGUACUACACUUCAACCUACUGCAGCCCACUUUUUUUCAUCAACUGCCGUCUUCAUCGUAUUCAAUCGGUUUCUAAUCAUAGAUAGCGAUUAUUGGCGCUAAUGCUGAUGUGUGAACUGUUGAAGGCUGGGUUGAUGACUGGUGUACUGAUGUCUCCUGGAUAUGGCUGAUACCAAACCACCACACCGCUGCCAUACUACACAACGAGGUCUCCAAGUACUACACCAUUGUAGGACGGAAUACUACAAGAUUAUGUAUGCUGCUCCUGCCUACUACACCAAGGCUCCUAAUCCCCUAAUGAUUGUCUACUAAAAUAUUAGGUCUGUUUCAUCCGUGUAGUGUAUAAUUCAGGCUAUUUGAUGGUAUUCCGUUUCCCAAAUGUGGUAUGUUGCAGCUCAAGUUGGUGAAAGUUCUUUGACAUGAACUGCGGUUGUCUCAAGCUAUGUCAAAAUUAUUUACUGUAUACUUGAAACUUAAACCUGAUAUAACAUGUUGAAUUUCGAAACUUAAUUGCUAUUUUAUCUCAUAUCAUAUAUUAAACUCGUUAAAAUAUACAAACAA